UAAGUUUCAUCUACUCCUCGU
rnacentral:piRNA from 1 species